UCAUAAUUUCAGCAGGAGACAACUUCUUCUGGUCGGAGGACAUGUCUGCAAUCUAACAGCAAUGAGGGUUACUGCUGUCUGACCACAGAGGAUCAUGUUAUGUAUCAGAUACACCAUGUCUACAAGAUGUGACCUGGAUUGAGUUAACAUUUGGUUCCUUUUCAGCGCUGUUGAGAUAAUUCGCUAGACGUUGAGAUUUCCAGAAGGCCAGUUUUCUUGUUUAUCCAUGGUUGACGCAUACAUCCCCUGAUGAAGUCUAGAGGCGAAACAUGUCAAGAUAACGUAUGACUAUUCAACCUUCAGAAAACUUCCAUAUAUAACCACCACUCUGGAUCUACCCUACACUAACGACCUCUUGUGGCUUGUUACUCAUUUUUAAUCUUUUGUAUAAUAAAGAUAAUUCAUAUUUACGUUUUAA